rnacentral:lncRNA from 1 species
CUUUUGAAGGGGGCAGGUUUACUGGUUAAUUGCUAAAUCACAUACAUAGAAGCACAUACACACAGAUCCAUAUUCUGCCUGGUCAAGAAGGAAACACUAAUUCUCAGAGGCAGAUCUUUCUAAAUAAGAGUUCUCAAACUAGUAAUCCACUAGCCUAAUUCAGCUCGCGUAUAUAUUUUAUUUGGCCCAUACAGUUUUUGUUUAUUUUUAGAAAUUGCACCAGCAUUAAAAACGGAUACAUUUGAUAUAAAAAUCCACAUUUCUAGCUUUUCUCAAAAAUAUAUUAAGAUCUAGAUCCACUAGACCUAUAAUUCUACAUGAGAAAAUUUGGCUAAGCUGAGUAGGGGCUGCCUUCUAUAGGCAAUGUGUAUGGUCUUCAUUCAGCCAUGGUCUCUACCAGUUCCUGUUACUGUCCCAGCAUGGAAGCCAUGCUAAUUAUUAGUCAUCACCGCAUUGUUUCUCUUAUCCAUAAGGAAAAAAAAUCCAUUUCUGUUUUCAAAAUCCAUAACUCUGAGCUGUGGGAAAUCAAUUAAAUGUUCUAAUUUUUUUCUAAGCCUGAUUAGUGGCAGUAACCGAGUUCAAAUUUGUCAUAUUUUCAUCCAUAACAAACUUGCAUUUUUGGACCAUAAAGUGAAAAUAAUAAAGAAGGAAUAAAACUGUAAAAACCCACCUGAUCAAAAUAAUUAUAAUUAUUAUUAACAAGGGGUAAAAAUGUAGAAAGACGUAUUUAUUGGAUAGAUGACCAUCACUAAAAAAAAAAAAAAAAAUUAACUCUCCAUGUACUAAAGCAAGAACAAAGCAUAUUCCAUUUUUUCCAAUUCAGAAUGCCCUUGAAGUAGAUUCUACAUAUAAGUAAUCAUGGACAAAUUAUAAAUUAGAAAAGUGAUGUAGGCUUCCUUGAAUAAAGAGAAAACAAAAUAGACGUUAUGUUUUCUCAAUUCUUAAGAUGUAAGUUGCCUAAUUGUGGCUGGGGGAG